AUGCCCCCAAAAUUGCCCAUGGCCUCAAAUGCAGCCUCGAAUUCAAUGUCAAGGAGGGGUUGGGGAGACGGGGCUGGUAUUUUUGUGGAAAAUCACUUAUCGAUUUCUGCUUCUCAAGUAGGUCUAUUGCUAUUUUCACUGAGAGGCAACAAAGGGAAGUCCAAAAUCUGUACCUUUUUUUUAUGCCAUCCUAUUAGUGUAACCUGUUUAUUGAAUUCGUUUUGGGACUUGAUACAUGUUGUGGCACAUGAUUUCAUGGGACUAUUGAGUACCCGGCUACGCGCAUGGUUGUGCUAUUUUUUUAACCAUUUAUUUCUAUUAUACUUUUUGUCUUCUUACAAUGGCUGACAAACGGAGUGCUGGGUACUGUUUUCGUGCUGUGCUGUUUGAUGAAUUGUUAUCUAUGUCUUUCAAUCCUUUUCGGGUUUUUUUGUGGGGAAUUUAUGUUCCUUCUCUUGUUUUGCCACGCCUGCAUUUAUCCAACAUGUAACUUCUGACUAAAGAAAACCCACUGGGCACAAUGUCAGUUCAACGUCUAGUUUUAUUUAUAUUUGGUUGAGUUGUCAACUAACAUGAAUUCAACGUGAAAUCAACAAAAGAUGUCACCAUGUCAAUGGAUUAAGGUUAAAAGUUGGGUAAAAAAAUAAAAUGAAAAAAAGUAUGACUUUUUUCAAGUCCAAUCACUUUCCCACAAUGUCAUCACAUGUAUUUUUUGUUGUUGUUGUUGAAAUGAUGUUAAAACAGUUUUUGCCCAGUGGGAAACCUCCCAGCCAUUACUAAUCAUAGGGAUGCCAUAUUUGUGUCUCUGUAAUGCAUUUACAAGUGUUCAGAAACACAUUUAGUCCAAUUGUAAUUUUAUUGUUUCCUUUACAGUUGAAUUACAUUUGACAUACACCUUGACAACCAUAUAGAUAUAUAAUACAGAAGAAAGAAAAGCACAAGCAUCUGUUGUUUCUUAUAGUUUGUUAUUGGCUGUUGACUGCCACAGCUGUACUUAAAUGUAUCAGCUAACAAACAUGCAACAUUUCACUCCAAAGACAGAGUUGAUUUUCUCUAGCUUCAACUCAGAAAACGUCUGACAUGUUUCUAAAUAGUUUUUGAAUGGUGAUCACAUGACUAUGCUAAUAUCUGCGCUCUGAUUGGAAGAUCCCACAAAUUUGCCAACUAGGUGCCACUUCCAAUCAAAUUUCACCAGAUAAUAAAAAGUUGCUCAUUUUCAAUGGAAAAGGUUGCAGCAACCAUUGCUGGGAAUAUUGCUCUGCAGUAUAGCCUCAAAACAUUGCCUGUGUAAACUCUAAGAAAAGAGGGUUCCUAAAGGGUACUUUGGGAAGGAUAAUGGUUCUGUGGAACCAUACUGACCCAAAGAAUCAUUUGAGCCCUUCAAUGGUUCUUUACAGUUCAGAAAUGUUUUUUUACUCACAACUCUUUUUGUGCAAUCAUAAGUGGGAGUGGG
rnacentral:lncRNA from 8 species